rnacentral:rRNA from 1 species
CCUACGGGAGGCAGCAGCUAAGAAUAUUCCGCAAUGGACGAAAGUCUGACGGAGCGACGCCGCGUGGAUGACGAAGGCCGAAAGGUUGUAAAGUCCUUUUGUUGGGGAAGAAUAACCAUGGGAGGGAAUGCCCGUGGGAUGACAUGAACCGACGAAUAAGCCCCGGCUAACUACGUGCCAGCAGCCGCGGUAAU